CCGCCACUGACUUCCGGUUACUGCGUGCUUCGCCCAAAAGGGCCCGGCCUUUCAGCGGAAAGGUUCCGGCAGAAGCGACGUUCCGCCCGGGCCGAGGUAUCCUGCUCUACCAGUCUCUGCUUGCCGACACCCUGCUCAAGUGGCCGACCUUCCUCCUAAUCAUAGAGCCUAAUCAGUAAAACCACCCAAUUUGUGGUGCUUUGUAACAGCGGCCCUCGAAAAACCCUGGUGAUCGAUGCUUUCAGAGGCGACGUGGUUCACGGGUAAUGUGCAGCAAAUAAAUGACUUGCUACCCGCACAGCCUUAGACAGUUUCUCAUCCUCUCUCAACCUCAGCUUCCUCCCUUGUGAAAUGGAGAUAAUGGUAUCGGCUUCACACUGCUUAAGAAAUGCUGCUUAGAGGAUUUCUCCAUAGAAACUGGAUGCAGAGAACUAGGCAUGUUACUUCCCCUGUUACCUCUUUGGAGCUAAUUAUUACUGACCUUGAGGGUAAACGCCCUCAUUCCUCACAGCAGUCACUCAGAAUUACUUUGACCGGAGUCUGGAAGUCGGAAGAGGCAACCGCUAGGCACGACUUAACUGUCAAUCACAGAGUCAGUGGGUUCAAAAUGAAAGUCGUCGCCUUCCCCAGAAACUGGCUCCUCACUUCCCUGUUCUGUGGCCCAGAUGCAGACGCCCCCGGCUCCUCCCACUCCAAUGUCUAGCCCAUUAUCUAGUUUCUGUGUUUUGACCAUGACCCAGGAGACAUUGAUGUGCGUGUGAAACAAAACUUUUCUUUAAAAUUACUUGUAUUUUGAAGUUCCCAUCGUGGC